GUUUAAACUCCUUUACGGGAGCGCUGACCCUUUAACACCGAUACCGGGCAUGAGAACGGCAGGCGGAAAACCCACGGUGCCGGCCUCGGCGGUGCCCCCUGAGCGCGGGGAAAGGGCUGAAGAGGAGGCUGAGAGCGGAGCGCUCGCUCCGCGCGUGAAAACAGUAGCUGAUUUUUUUAUUAUUAUUAUUAUUUACCCCUCCCUUCUUCCCGAGGCUGUAAUUUGACUGCUGGCUUUGGCUCGGCUCCAGGGAUCAGUCCAAGCGGUUAAAUCUUUCUUCCCCUUCCCCCUUCCCAGCCUCCGGGGGAGGAGGAAAAGGGGAGCGGAGUCAGCUGCAGCCCGGGGCCGGGUCGGGCCUCCCCGGGGAGGGGCCGAGGCAGCGGCUCGGCUCCGGGAGCUGCAUGGAGGAGGGGAGUUUCGCUGAGUCCCCUGCCCGGACGGGAGGAGGAGGAAGUUUGGAGAUUAAGCCGCUGCUCGGAGCCGGAGCGCACGGAGAGAGACGGGCGGCGACUGCAAAGCGCUGCGAGGAAGGGACUUUGAGGAGAAGCCCCUCGGCGCUCGCCUCUGCGCCUGGAUUGUAACCAGGAGGAGGAGCGGGACUGCCGGGUGCCAUAGAAUAAAGAGAAAGAGGAAAAGUGACUCCACUUUGCCUAAUCUGACAGUGAUUUCUUUGGUGAGCACUCUAUCAGGUUUUACUAAGCCUGUCUCUGCUGAGAUGCCAGAUAAAGCACCAGGUGGUACAGAACCUGUCCCCAGGAGUGAAGCCAAGCAGUAUCUUCCAAGUCUUGGAUUCACAGUGUUUAAUCUGACUUUAAUGCAUAGUGCUCCUGCACAGCUGACAUCUUCAACUUUAAGUUCAAGUUUAUGAAGAUCUGCAAAAUCAUUACAUAUGAAGCAUUCUAUAUGUGAAGGGGAUUAUAUGAAUAUUUUUGAUACUUUUGUUUCUAAGUAUAAAGCUAAGAUUUUAACUGCCAAAUAAGUAAUGAAUCUUUGCAACCUAAAGGCCUGCAUUGCAAAAGUGGGUUUUUUUCACUGUACCAUACUUCCUUUUAGAAAUAGAGUUAAAGUAAAAAUGUGCUCUGGAAAAUAAAGCGUGAUAAAGAGAAAUAAUUAUGUUGUGAAUUCAGUCAUUUCUCUACAAACAUGUCUUANGUCAUAUAAGAAAACUCAAAAUAAACAACCAACAAACAAAACAACAAACCCACACACAGAAAACACACCACUUCUGAAAUAUUGUGUAGUUGCAUAGCUUUUACAUGUGUAUUUGCAUGUAGUAUUCUCUGCUUCCUCAAAUUACUGAAGUGCGUUUUGGCAUAAUACAUCUAUUAAUGUUGCACAUAUGAUAGUGAUCAAAUAAUAUAAUAAAAUAAUAGCUCAUACAUUUGCUUGUUGACUCAGUCCUAAUUAGGAGUUAAAUUGCUAAAAGUUCCAAUAAUAGAUGAUUCUUGCUUGAGGGCCAU
rnacentral:lncRNA from 1 species